AAAAAUCAAAUCCAAAAUGCUAGGAAUAUGGACUUCAUCUCACAUUAAUCGUUUUCUUCUCUUCUUCUCGGAUCCAUUGACGCCCAUUAUAAGAAAAAUGUUCCUGAGCUGCGAUCAGUAGCCUAAUUUUCAAAUUUCUCUCGGACAUUUCACCAUAAAAAUUCUAAUUUAAGUACAAAUGUUCCAAAACAUCGUCGUGCUGCUCCUUGAUGUUCGAAUUAUUUGCUGGCGUUAUGAUUUUAGUUUAUUAAAAGCCGUUAAAUUUGAAUGCGCGAAGGAAAUCGGAAUAAUUUAACACAAUGUAUAUAUAAUUUACGACACGGGUUAAGCAACGCCUGUUACUAAGCGGUGCCGUUUAAUGUAAAAUAAAACUCGGAAUAACACUCGGAAUAUCCCGCACUUUGCCAGAUCAGGGGUUACUUUCCCAAACAACGGCUGAAGUUAACAUUAACGAUGCAUCGUACUACGGAAUAUUUCCAGUGCUGAAAGAAUGCUGAAUGCAAUAUACAACAGGGAGGUGGACGUGCCUGAUGGUGCUGCUGAUGUUCCUGCUGCUGCACUUCGCCUCAUACUUCAGGACCAUGUGA